GUGCUCGCUUCAGCAGCAUAUAUACUAAAAUUGGAAUGAUACAGAGAUUAGCAUGGCCUCUGCGCAAGGAUCGCAUGCAAAUAUGUGAAGCGGUCCAUAUUUAA
ensembl:snRNA U6 U6 spliceosomal RNA